rnacentral:miRNA from 1 species
GAGCUCUUUCUUGAUUCUAUG